rnacentral:rRNA from 1 species
AGAGUUUGGUCAUGGCUCAGAUUGAACGUUGGCGGCAGGCCUAAAACAUGCAAGUCGAACGGUAACAGCGGAAGCUUGCUUCCGGCUGACGAGUGGCGGACGGGUGAGUAACACGUAGGAAUCUACCUAGUAGUGGGGGACAACCCGGGGAAACCCGGGCUAAUACCGCAUACGCUCUAUGGAGGAAAGCAGGGGAUCUUCGGACCUUGCGCUAUUGGAGGAGCCUGCGUCGGAUUAGCUAGUUGGUGGGGUAAAGGCCUACCAAGGCGACGAUCCGUAGCUGGUCUGAGAGGACGAUCAGCCACACUGGAACUGAGACACGGUCCAGACUCCUACGGGAGGCAGCAGUUAGGAAUCUUGGGCAAUGGGCGCAAGCCUGACCCAGCCAUGCCGCGUGUGUGAAGAAGGCCUUCGGGUUGUAAAGCACUUUCAGCGGUGAAGAAAAGCUCAGGGCCAAUAUCCUUGAGUCUUGACGUUAACCGCAGAAGAAGCACCGGCUAACUCCGUGCCAGCAGCCGCGGUA